rnacentral:rRNA from 1 species
GAUGAACGCUGGCGGCGUGCCUAAUACAUGCAAGUCGAGCGAACGGACGAGAAGCUUGCUUCUCUGAUGUUAGCGGCGGACGGGUGAGUAACACGUGGAUAACCUACCUAUAAGACUGGGAUAACUUCUGGAAACCGGAGCUAAUACCGGAUAAUAUUUUGAACCGCAUGGUUCAAAAGUGAAAGACGGUCUUGCUUUCACUUAUAGAUGGAUCCGCGCUGCAUUAGCUAGUUGGUAAGGUAACGGCUUACCAAGGCAACGAUGCAUAGCCGACCUGAGAGGGUGAUCGGCCACACUGGAACUGAGACACGGUCCAGACUCCUACGGGAGGCAGCAGUAGGGAAUCUUCCGCAAUGGGCGAAAGCCUGACGGAGCAACGCCGCGUGAGUGAUGAAGGUCUUCGGAUCGUAAAACUCUGUUAUUAGGGAAGAACAUAUGUGUAAGUAACUGUGCACAUCUUGACGGUACCUAAUCAGAAAGCCACGGCUAACUACGUG